UACGUAGGGCGCAAGCGUUGUCCGGAAUUAUUGGGCGUAAAGAGCUCGUAGGCGGUUUGUCGCGUCUGUCGUGAAAGCUUGGGGCUUAACCCCAAGUCUGCGGUGGAUACGGGCAGACUAGAGGCAGGUAGGGGAGAACGGAAUUCCCGGUGUAGCGGUGAGAUGCGCAGAUAUCGGGAGGAACACCGGUGGCGAAGGCGGUUCUCUGGGCCUGUACUGACGCUGAGGAGCGAAAGCGUGGGGAGCGAACAGG
rnacentral:rRNA from 1 species